GCGCGGCCCGGGAAGGGGAAGUGGCGAGGGGCGGCACGACGCAGGGCUGCCCCUGGCCGCCUGGCCAAUGAUCGCUGGCCAGGCGGGGCUCGCGGUCGGCUCCCCGGGAGCGAGCGGGGCUGGGCGUGCCCACGGGUGACGCGCGGGCGGCGCAGGCCAAUGGGCGCGGGAUGGUGAGCGGGCGGGCCUCCAGGCCCGGGCUUUAGGACACGAACCCGAGGCCUGCGGGACAGACUGACGUGGGAUUGCAACGCAGAAGUCACAGCGCGGGGAUGGCGUUGGCGCGGGCCUGGAAGCAGAUGUCCUGGUUCUACUACCAAUACCUGCUGGUGACGGCGCUCUACAUGCUGGAGCCCUGGGAGCGGACUGUGUUCAAAGCUGAAUGCAGAACCCACUACAGAGUCUACUGGACCAUGGCUUAAAAAUGCUAAGCUGAAAAUUUCAGAAGUAAAGAAUUCAUAAAUUUUAAAUUGCAUGCUGUGAUGAAAUCUUGCUUUGCCUAGCCUGAGAUGUGAAUUCAUCCCUUUGUCUAGCGUAUGUGUAGUGUGUAUACUACCUGCGACUUAGUAGCCAUGUAGCCAUUUUGGUUAUGAGAGAGAGAGAGAGAGAGAGAGAGAGAGAGAGAGAGAGAGACUAUGACUUAUAUAACUCAUUACAAGACAUUGUUAUAAUUCUGUAUUAUAUUAAUUGUCAUUUAUCUCUCACUGUGUCUAACUUAUAAAUUAAACUUUAUCAUAGUUAUGUAUGUACAGGAAAAAACAAUAUAUGUAGGGUUUGGUACUAUCUGCGGAUUCAGGGAUCCACUGGGGGUCUUGGAAUGUAUCCCCUGGAUAUUGGGGGACUUCUGUAUAGAUUUUACACUUAAGAGCUUGUGUUGGCAUGUGGAUAAAUGCUACAGCAUCAAUGGUGUUAUGGUUUUUCUGUAUCAUGUUGCAGUAGUAAUAGUGUCCCAUAAACACCUAGGUGACGGCUUUCUUUAGGAUGGAGAAAUAAAUCAUGAAAUGAAGUGUAGUGCCUCUUUAGAUUUUUGCCUUUGAAGCUUUUGACUUUUCAUUGGAUUAAGUGACCAAGAGAUUUCAAUUUUUAAAGUACUGCUAAGAAAUACAACCAACUAGCAACUGUGAAGUAGUUGGAAUUUCAUAAAUUUAUUAAUAAUUAGUAAGCCUCACCCAGAACUAUUUUGUGGCUUUGGGAAAGAGACAUUCUAUUUUGUUACAUGGUUUGGGAAAGAGACAUUCUUCAAAAGUACACCGAACACAAUUAUCACUACUAGAAACCUAAAUCUUUUUUUUUUUUUAAAUAGAUUUUAUUGAUUUUUUACAGAGAGGAAGGGAGAGGGAUAGAGAGUUAGAAACAUCGAUGAGAGAGAAACAUCGAUCAGCUGCCUCCUGGGGAUCCUGCCUACUGGGGAUGUGCUCGCAACCAAGGUACAUGCCCUUGACUGGAAUCAAAUAUGGGACCCUUGAGUCUGCAGGGUGAUGCUAUCCGCUGAGCCAAACCAGUCAGGGCGAAACCUAAAUCUUACCCAAUAUUUAGUGCAGUGUUUCUCCACCUUUUGGCCCUUUAAAUACAGUUCCUCAUGUUGUGACCCAACCAUAAAAUUAUUUUCGUUGCUUCUUCAUAACUGUAAUGUUGCUACUGUUAUGAAUUGUAAUGUAAAUAUCUGAUGUUCAGGAUGGUCUUAGGCAACCCCUGUGAAAGCGUCGUUCGACCGCCAAAGGGAUCGCGACCCACAGGUUGAGAACCGCUGAUUUAGUGUAAGAGAAAUUUGUCUGGCUGUCUGAAAAAUGGCCUCUGUCUGAGUCUUGGACAGAGGAAGACUCUAGACCAGUGGUUCUCAACCUUGGCUGCACAUUAGAAUCACCUGGAAAUCUUUUUAAAAUCCUGAUUUCUGGGCCUCAUCCUCCGGAAAUUCUGUUUCUUUGUUAUGGGGUGAGGCCA